AUGGGGAAAUGGUAAAGAAGAAACAGAGAAGAAGGGGAAACAGGGAAACAACGAAGACAAGAAGGCAAAAUUGAUCGCUACUCCACCUGUUCUUCACAUCGAUGAGCAUUGUUCGACCGGCGACGCUACACUCGGACUACCAUCGCCAGCUUCCCCUCCUCCCACUCCCUCCUUGUUUUCCGAUGCCGGUACUCAGGGCUACCGUCGUCGCCUCGCCGGGCUCCUCUUCUCUCCGUCCCUCCUCCGAUUUUCGUCGAGUUAAGUCAGGCCUACUGUAGCCGGAAUCCUCUUAUAUCCGUCCCUCCUCCGUUUUUCGUCGAGUAAACCUAGGUAAUUUAGUUAUUUUUUUUUUAUUUCUUUAUUUUGUCUAAAAUAGCUAAUUGAGGGUCGCAAAUUAACCCCCUUUGCAGCUCCACCAUCGCCAGAUUCCUGUUGUGCCCUUGCCACCUCCUUUUUCAUCUUUUUCCGUUGCCGCCAUUAGGUAAGUUGUGUAUAGUUAUUUAUUUUUUUAAUUUUAAAGUUUUUUUCUAUAUACCCUACCUAAAAUUGUAACACCAUCGUAUACCAGGACCACCUUCGUCGCCGCCUCUGCUUUUUCGGUAAACUCCUCCACUAUCUGUUUUCUUCCCUUCUUAUUUAACUACUUCUUUUACUUUUGUAAUAUGAUUCAUAUUUAGUUUAGUUGUUUAUUGAGUUGUGAUCUAUAUAUUUUUUAAAAAGCAUCCUUAUUAGUUGCGUUUUUAUUUCAGUUUACUAUCAUUGCUUUACUUUGUGAAUGUGCUACUUGUUUAAGCGGGUUUUCCUAAUGAUUCUUAAAUGGUCACUUUAGUAAUAUCAAGAGGUUUGCUAAUAAUAGCUUGGUUCAUUGUUGGAUUUUUUACGCUUUAUUAUGCAUAGGCUUGAACUUGGAUGUGUUUUGAUUGGAAUAGAAAUUUAUUUUGCUUUAUGUCCAAUGUAGGACUAUUGGUUGGUAUGAACUCAUGUGUUGAAUAAUUUUCGUUUUUGUUUAAAAAAAAUGAUUCCUAUAGAAUUGUUUUAGCUUUAUUAGAAAUAUGUAUGUUUAUAUGAGAAGUUGUGUUAAUCUUUUGAACAUUGACUGGUGUGUACCCCGGGCAAUGUCCUGGGUUGCUAGUUUGUGUACUUCUUGCUUUAAUUUAGCAAUUAUGUUCGACUAUUUGUAUAGUAAGUGUGUGAGUUCGGGCAGUGCCUUGUAUGUCACUUCUUUUUUUUACAUCAUAUGUGUUUAUAUUCUAAUCUUAUGAAAAAUAAAUAAAUCAUAUAACCUUUAUUUUACUUAAUAAAUGAAAGGAAUAUAUAAUAUUAUGUGCAGCUUGAAACAUUAAUAAUAGUUGGUUGAGAUGGUGAAUGUAUUACUUAUAUGUAUUGGAGGUUAUGGGUUUGAAUAUUGUUCAAAGCAUAUUUUAUUUUGUUAAAUGAAGUGGCUAACUUACGAUGAUGACGUGGCUUUGUGACGUAGGACACAUACUUUGAAGAGUGCCACGUGGCACCGUUCCUUUAGAAGGAAUGUCUAUUAAUAUAUAGUAUAGAUUUGUAUUAUGGUUCUAUAAUAUAUUUUGUUAAUUAUUUUGUUUUUUCAUUUAAUUUUUUUCAUGAAUGGUUACAUGUGGUUUUUUUUUUAAUAUUUUUAUAUUUUGAUUUUUGUUAUCAAACUCCCAUCAUUGUAUUGUAAAUUAUAUAUAAUAAGUAUUUUAGAAAAUAUUAAAAAUAAUUUAAAUAUUUCUCAAGUAAUUUGGUAAAAAGUUAAC